rnacentral:rRNA from 1 species
CUACGGGGGGCUGCAGUAAGGAAUAUUGCGCAAUGGAGGCAACUCUGACGCAGCCAUGCCGCGUGCAGGAAGAAGGCCUUAUGGGUCGUAAACUGCUUUUAUUUAGGAAUAAACCCCCGAACGUGUUCGGGGCUGAAGGUACUAAACGAAUAAGCACCGGCUAACUCCGUGCCAGCAGCCGCGGUAAUACGGAGGGUGCAAGCGUUAUCCGGAUUUAUUGGGGUUAAAGGGUGCGCAGGGGGGCUAUUAAGUCAGUGGUGAAAUCCCGGGGCUCAACUCCGGAACUGCCAUUGAUACUGAUAGUCUUGAGUUUGGUUGAAGUGGGCGGAAUGUAGCAUGUAGCGGUGAAAUGCAUAGAUAUGCUACAGAACACCAAUCGCGAAGGCAGCUCACUAAGCCAAAACUGACGCUCAUGCACGAAAGCGUGGGGAUCAAACAGGAUUAGAUACCCGCAGUAGUC